rnacentral:rRNA from 1 species
CCUGAUACAUGCAAGUCGAGCGCGAAAGCGGCCUUCGGGCCGCAAGUAGAGCGGCGAACGGGUGAGUAACACGUGGGUAACCUGCCCUGGAGUGGGGAAUAACUUGGGGAAACCCGAGCUAAUGCCGCAUACGCCCGCCGGACCUUCGGGUCCGGCGAGGAAAGGUGGCCAAUUCUUGAAAGCUGCCGCUCCAGGAGGGGCCCGCGCCCGAUUAGCUAGUUGGUGAGGUAACGGCUCACCAAGGCUACGAUCGGUAGCCGGCCUGAGAGGGCGAUCGGCCACACUGGAACUGAGACACGGUCCAGACCGCUACGGUGGGCAGCAGUACGGAAUAUUGCGCAAUGGGCGAAAGCUUGACGCAGCAACGCCGCGUGAAGGAUGAAGGCCUUCGGGUCGUAAACUUCUGUCAGGCGGGACGAAAGAGCGGCGGCGAACAACCGCCGUUUCCUGACGGUACCGCCGGAGGAAGCCCCGGCUAACUCCGUGCCAGCAGCCGCGGUAAUACGGAGGGGGCAAGCGUUAUUCGGAAUCAUUGGGCGUAAAGGGCGUGUAGGCGGCUUGAUAAGCCAAAGGUGAAAUCCCUCAGCUCAACUGAGGAACUGCCUUUGGAACUGUCUCGCUAGAGGCCAGGAGAGGGUAGCGGAAUUCCCAGUGUAGCGGUGAAAUGCGUAGAUAUUGGGAGGAACACCAGUGGCGAAGGCGGCUACCUGGACUGGUACUGACGCUGAGGCGCGAAAGUGUGGGGAGCAAACAGGAUUAGAUACCCUGGUAGUCCACGCUGUAAACGAUGGGCACUCGGUGCUGCGGGUAUCGACCCCUGCAGUGCCUUAGCUAACGCGUUAAGUGCCCCGCCUGGGGAGUACGGUCGCAAGGCUGAAACUCAAAGGAAUUGACGGGGGCCCGCACAAGCGGUGGGAGCAUGUGGUUUAAUUCGAUGCAACGCGCAGAACCCUUACCUGGGUUUAAACUGUGGCGGACCGUUCCAGAGAUGGUUCAUUCCCUUUCGGGGACUGU